GACCUGAUAGCAUAUUGUGGAGUGCGUCUGUUUUCUAUAGUGAAAUAAGGUGUUUUCAGUGGAAGGUCCCUGUUCGAUUCGGGGUCAGGUCA